CAAAGCCCAAAGAGGAAGUGAGGAGCCCCAGGUCCCACCAUUAGAUCCUCCUGGACCACAGUCACUCGAGGAAGCCUACCCCACACUUACAAAGACAAGACCUCGCCACACAGCAUCUGUCCUCUUCAAGAUCUGCCCCCACCAAGAUGUGUCUCCAGACCAAAACCACAGUCAGAUUGAAGCACAGGCCAGUGCAGAGGAAAUACUGAACACAGAGGAAAAAAUGGCAAGGCCCUAAAUAGUAGGUUCAGCAGGCCCCAGGGGGCCGAGUGUGGAAGUGGAUCUUGAGGGCUUGGAACUGGUGUUGGGGAGAAUAGAAGGGUGGGAAGGUGAGAAUUUACUCACAUGGAAGCCCUCCCAGCAAAGACACCUGGGCCCAUCCUCACUGGCGCCCGGUUGCUUUCAUAGCCGCGGACACAACUUGGGCCCACAGUUAACG
rnacentral:lncRNA from 1 species